rnacentral:rRNA from 1 species
UACAGAGGGGGCAAGCGUUGUUCGGAAUUACUGGGCGUAAAGGGCGCGUAGGCGGCCUUCUAAGUCAGACGUGAAAUCCCUCGGCUCAACCGGGGAACUGCGUCUGAGACUGGAAGGCUUGAAUCCGGGAGAGGGAUGCAGAAUUCCAGGUGUAGCGGUGAAAUGCGUAGAUAUCUGGAGGAAUACCGGUGGCGAAGGCGGCAUCCUGGACCGGCAUUGACGCUGAGGAGCGAAAGCCAGGGGAGCAAACGGG